rnacentral:rRNA from 1 species
UACGUAGGGUGCAAGCGUUACUCGGAAUUACUGGGCGUAAAGCGCGCGUAGGCGGUUUGUUAAGUCUGUUGUGAAAGCCCCGGGCUCAACCUGGGAAUGGCAAUGGAUACUGGCAAGCUAGAGUGCGGUAGAGGGUAGUGGAAUUCCCGGUGUAGCGGUGAAAUGCGUAGAGAUCGGGAGGAACACCAGUGGCGAAGGCGGCGCACUGGGCCAUAACUGACGCUGAUGCACGAAAGCUAGGGGAGCAAACAGG